AUGUCGUCCUCCCUUAAAUAUUUAGGUGUUUUUGUUCACAUCACGAGUGUCAACCGUGUUACUAUUUCUGCUGCUGCAACUGAGUUUCCCACCGAAACUGCAGAAAGUACUUACUCUGUCUUUACUGUGGCAUACAUAGUGAGGCUCUCAAGUGUACUGAAUCAUGCAGGCCUGCCUAUUUUUUCUUUCUUUCUUUCUUUCUUUCUUUCUUUUUCAUUCAUACAUUCAUUCAUUCCUUCACUCAUUCAAUAA
rnacentral:lncRNA from 1 species